rnacentral:tRNA from 2 species
GCUGAAGUGGAUGGAAUAGGCAGACACGGCGGAUUCAAAAUCCGUUGCCGCAAGGCGUGUGGGUUCAAAUCCCACCUUCAGCA